rnacentral:lncRNA from 1 species
CCAGCAAAUAAGGAAAAUUCCAUAAGGACAAUGGAAAUGUUUGAAUAUAUUUGUAAAAAAUAAAUAUUUCAUCAGUUCAGGUCUGACAAGAGUCCUAAAGGAUAUUGAUUGGUUACACGCUGCACGAUUGCAUCAAGCAUUGUUAAAAUGGGAAGAAGAAAAAAGCUAAAAUACCUUUCGUGUCCUAAAUACAUACACUCCUGAUCGAUUAAAGGAAUGAGUUCUAUCUCAAAUUCAUAUUUCAUAGUUAGAAUUUUGCAAUUAGAAAGUUGUCCUGAGCCCUGUCUCUUUUAUGAAACCUAUCGUGCAUUUGAAUUCCGUCUAUCAAACACCAGCAAAAAGCCACCAGAUGAUGAAUCUACCAGCUGGGAGAGUGGAUUCAGCAGACAAUCUGGGCAGCAACAAACAUUCCAGAAAGAGGGUGAGGUAAUUUUGAUACACCUGAUGUGGGAAGAACUACAAUGGAGACUCCAGAACAGAAGUUAGUUUUGAAGAAGUGGGCAGCUGCUAAGAAGAGGCCAGUAUUUUGGGAGAAAGAAGAGAGGGAAAGAGAACCAAAAGAAAUAAUUAAAAUUAAAAAAUAAAAUAAAAUUAAAAAAAU